UACGUAGGGAGCGAGCGUUGUCCGGAUUUAUUGGGCGUAAAGAGCGCGUAGGCGGCUCGGUAAGCCGGAUGUGAAACCUCCAAGCUCAACUUGGAGCGGCCAUUCGGAACUGCUGUGGCUAGAGUCUGGUAGGGGAACACGGAAUACCUGGUGUAGCGGUGAAAUGCUUAGAUAUCAGGUGGAACACCAGUGGCGAAGGCGGUGUUCUGGGCCAGUACUGACGCUGAGGCGCGAAAGCGUGGGGAGCGAACAGG
rnacentral:rRNA from 1 species